rnacentral:rRNA from 1 species
AUACGUAGGGUGCAAGCGUUAAUCGGAAUUACUGGGCGUAAAGCGUGCGCAGGCGGUUUUUUAAGACAGAGGGGAAAUCCCCGGGCUCAACCUGGGAACUGCCUUUGUGACUGCAAGGCUAGAGUACGGCAGAGGGGGAUGGAAUUCCGCGGGUAGAAGGAAAAUGCGUAGAUAUGCGGAGGAACACCGAAGGCGAAGGCAAUCCCCUGUGCCUGUACUGACGCUCAUGCACGAAAGCGUGGGGAGCAAACAGGAUUAGAUACCCUGGUAGUCCACGCCCUAAACGAUGUCAACUGGUUGUUGGGUCUUCAUUGACUCAGUAACGAAGCUAACGCGUGAAGUUGACCGCCUGGGGAGUACGGCCGCAAGGUUGAAACUCAAAUGAAUUGACGGGG